GGGGCCUACGGGAGGCAGCAGUAGGGAAUCUUCCACAAUGGACGAAAGUCUGAUGGAGCAACGCCGCGUGAGCGAUGAAGGCCUUCGGGUCGUAAAGCUCUGUUGUCAGGGAAGAACAAGUAUCGGAAUAACUGCCGGUACCUUGACGGUAC
rnacentral:rRNA from 1 species